UUGGGAUUGUUACCAACUCAUACAACAAUUUGAUAAAAAGCACAUGAUCUUCUUUGCUAAAUUUUCUCCCAUACAACCGGAUAUACGUGGAGAGCUUCCUAGUCCAGAAGAGCCCCCCGGGCCACAGCUCCUGCAGCUGCACGGCCCGCGCCAGGUUGCCUUUGAUCUGCGCGAGGAAGCGGGCCGCCUCGGCCUCCAGGCGCUCGCCGUAGGGC
rnacentral:lncRNA from 1 species